rnacentral:rRNA from 1 species
UCUCCUACGGGAGGCAGCAGUGGGGAAUAUUGGACAAUGGGGGGAACCCUGAUCCAGCGACGCCGCGUGAAGGAAGAAGGCUUUCGGGUUGUAAACUUCUUUUAAGGGGGAAGAGCAGAAGACGGUACCCCUUGAAUAAGCCACGGCUAACUACGUGCCAGCAGCCGCGGUAAUACGUAGGUGGCAAGCGUUGUCCGGAUUUACUGGGUGUAAAGGGCGUGCAGCCGGAGAGACAAGUCAGAUGUGAAAUCCGCAGGCUCAACCUGCGAACUGCAUUUGAAACUGUUUCCCUUGAGUAUCGGAGG